rnacentral:ncRNA from 1 species
GUGUUUUAUGAAAAGAGAGAAGGUUAGCACUCCCCUUGACAAGGAUGGAGGAGGCCCUUGAGCCUGACAACAAGUGUUGCUUUU